rnacentral:rRNA from 1 species
GACGAACGCUGGCGGCGUGCUUAACACAUGCAAGUCGAACGGAAAGGCCCUGCUUUUGUGGGGUGCUCGAGUGGCGAACGGGUGAGUAACACGUGAGUAACCUGCCCUUGACUUUGGGAUAACUUCAGGAAACUGGGGCUAAUACCGGAUAGGAGCUCCUGCUGCAUGGUGGGGGUUGGAAAGUUUCGGCGGUUGGGGAUGGACUCGCGGCUUAUCAGCUUGUUGGUGGGGUAGUGGCUUACCAAGGCUUUGACGGGUAGCCGGCCUGAGAGGGUGACCGGCCACAAUGGGAAUGAGGUACGGCCCAGACUCCUACGGGAGGGAGCAGGGGGGAAUAUUGGACAAUGGGCCGAAGCCUGAUGCAGCAACGCCGCGUGCGGGAUGACGGCCUUCGGGUUGUAAACCGCUUUCGCCUGUGACGAAGCGUGAGUGACGGUAAUGGGUAAAGAAGCACCGGCUAACUACGUG